rnacentral:rRNA from 1 species
AUGACGGCCUUCGGGUUGUAAACCGCUUUUGACAGGGACGAAGCGCAAGUGACUGUACCUGUAGAAUAAGGACCGGCCAACUACGUGCCAGCAGCCGCGGUAAUACGUAGGGUCCGAGCGUUGUCCGGAAUUACUGGGCGUAAAGAGCUUGUAGGCGGUUCGUCGCGUCGUUUGUGAAAACUUGGGGCUCAACCUUAAGCUUGCAGGCGAUACGGGCGGACUAGAGUACUUCAGGGGAGACUGGAAUUCCUGGUGUAGCGGUGAAAUGCGCAGAUAUCAGGAGGAACACCGGUGGCGAAGGCGGGUCUCUGGGAAGUAACUGACGCUGAGAAGCGAAAGCAUGGGUAGCAAACAGGAUUAGAUACCCUGGUAGUCCAUGCCGUAAACGGUGGGUACUAGGUGUGGGGCUCCUUCCACGGACUCCGUGCCGUAGCUAACGCAUUAAGUACCCCGCCUGGGGAGUACGGCCGCAAGGCUAAAACUCAAAGAAAUUGACGGGGGCCCGCACAAGCGGCGGAGCAUGUGGAUUAAUUCGAUGCAACGCGAAGAACCUUACCUGGGUUUGACAUACACCGGAAACCUGCAGAGAUGUAGGCCCCCUUGUGGUCGGUGUACAGGUGGUGCAUGGCUGUCGUCA